rnacentral:rRNA from 1 species
GGGGUGCAGCAGGCGCGAAACCUUUGCCAUGCGCGAAAGCGUGACAGGGGAAUUCCGAGUGGUAGGGGGGUUUACCUCCCUAUCUUUUGGCCAAUCCAAACAAUUGGCAGAAUAAGAUCUGGGUAAGACCAGUGCCAGCCGCCGCGGUAAUACUGGCAGAGCAAGUGGUAUCCACGAAUAUUGGGUCUAAAGAGUCCGUAGCGGACCUGUUAAGUCCACUGUGAAAUCUGGCGGCUCAACCGUCAGGCGUGUAGUGGAUACUGGCAGGCUUGGGAGUGGGGGAGGUCGGGAGUACUCACGGGGUAACGGUAAAAUGUUGUAAUCCUGUGAGGACUACCAGUGGCGAAGGCGCCCGACCAAAACACGUCCGACCGUGAGGGACGAAGGCUAGGAGAACGAAUCGGAUUAGAUACCCGAGUAGCCCUAGCAGUAAAUUAUGCAGACUGUGGUGUUGCGUCGACUUCGAGUCGGCGCAGUGCUGUAGCGUAGGUGUUAAGUCUGCCACCUGGGGAGUACGGCCGCAAGGUUGAAACUUAAAGGAAUUGGC